GGCAUGGGGGCAUGCUAAUACAUGCAAGUCGAGCGGACAGAUGGGAGCUUGCUCCCUGAUGUUAGCGGCGGACGGGUGAGUAACACGUGGGUAACCUGCCUGUAAGACUGGGAUAACUCCGGGAAACCGGGGCUAAUACCGGAUGGUUGUCUGAACCGCAUGGUUCAGACAUAAAAGGUGGCUUCGGCUACCACUUACAGAUGGACCCGCGGCGCAUUAGCUAGUUGGUGAGGUAACGGCUCACCAAGGCGACGAUGCGUAGCCGACCUGAGAGGGUGAUCGGCCACACUGGGACUGAGACACGGCCCAGACUCCUACGGGAGGCAGCAGUAGGGAAUCUUCCGCAAUGGACGAAAGUCUGACGGAGCAACGCCGCGUGAGUGAUGAAGGUUUUCGGAUCGUAAAGCUCUGUUGUUAGGGAAGAACAAGUGCCGUUCAAAUAGGGCGGCACCUUGACGGUACCUAACCAGAAAGCCACGGCUAACUACGUGCCAGCAGCCGCGGUAAUACGUAGGUGGCAAGCGUUGUCCGGAAUUAUUGGGCGUAAAGGGCUCGCAGGCGGUUUCUUAAGUCUGAUGUGAAAGCCCCCGGCUCAACCGGGGAGGGUCAUUGGAAACUGGGGAACUUGAGUGCAGAAGAGGAGAGUGGAAUUCCACGUGUAGCGGUGAAAUGCGUAGAGAUGUGGAGGAACACCAGUGGCGAAGGCGACUCUCUGGUCUGUAACUGACGCUGAGGAGCGAAAGCGUGGGGAGCGAACAGGAUUAGAUACCCCUGGUAGUCCACGCCGUAAACGAUGAGUGCUAAGUGUUAUGGGGUUUCCGCCCCUUAGUGCUGCAGCUAACGCAUUAAGCACUCCGCCUGGGGAGUACGGUCGCAAGACUGAAACUCAAGGGAAUUGACGGGGGCCCGCACAAGCGGUGGAGCAUGUGGUUUAAUUCGAAGCAACGCGAAGAACCUUACCAGUCUGACAUCCUCUGAACAAUUCUAAGAGAUAG
rnacentral:rRNA from 2 species